rnacentral:lncRNA from 1 species
UUAGUUAUUGAGGUUUAAAUCUGUUGUAAGAAUUAUUAGGAUUUGGUUUAGGGUUUGGUUAGGAUUUUAUUUAGAAUUUGGAUUAGGGUUUGGUUUAGGGUUUAGAAUUUGGAUUAGAGUUUGAUUUAGGAUUUAGGUUUUGGUUAGGAUUUGAUUUAGGAUUUAGAAUUUGAUUAGGAUUUGGUUUAGGGUUUAGGAUUUGAUUAAGAUUUGAUUAGGAUUUGGUUUAGGAUUUGGUUGGGAUUUGAUUUAGGAUUUAGGGUUUAGGAUUUUAUUAGGAUUUAAGAUUUAAUUAGUUUUGGCCCAAAGUUUGAAUGAAGUUCAAUAGGAUUUUGACUAGAAUUAAAUAAAGAUUGAAUUGGGAUGUAUUUGAGUGAUAUUUGUGAUCAUAAAAUUACUCUUUAAGAAUUCUUAUUAUUUAUUUGAAAUUUCUCUGAGGUUUCUUUGAAUUUGAUUAAGCUUGCUUACUAUUCUUAUGGUCUAAUUAGAGCAUUGUUAAUAUUCUAUUAGAAUUAGGAUUUUGUUAUUAUAAUUUUCAUUCUUCCUUCUACAACUAGGUGCCUGGAUCAUUCUCAAGCAAGACUUCACGUAUUACAA